rnacentral:rRNA from 1 species
GACGUAGGGCGCGAGCGUUGUCCGGAUUUAUUGGGCGUAAAGAGCUCGUAGGCGGCUUGUCGCGUCGUUCGUGAAAACCCGGGGCUCAACUCCGGGCUUGCGGGCGAUACGGGCAGGCUAGAGUUCGGUAGGGGAGACUGGAAUUCCUGGUGUAGCGGUGAAAUGCGCAGAUAUCAGGAGGAACACCGGUGGCGAAGGCGGGUCUCUGGGCCGAUACUGACGCUGAGGAGCGAAAGCGUGGGGAGCGA